UCUCCGUUGGUGAACCAGCGGAGGGAUCAUUACUGGAAUCGCAAGAUCCCACAACCCCUUUGAACCUACCGAAACUUUGCCUCGGCGGGCGCCCCGCUCCGCGCCGGGCGCUGAGCCCGCCGGCUCCCUCCUACUCUUGUCCCUGCAGCGUGGCCUCUCUGAGUCCCAUAAUACAAGUAAAAACUUUCAACAACGGAUCUCUUGGCUCUA
rnacentral:misc_RNA from 1 species